CUAGCAACCGGGCAACAUCUGCUCCCGCUGGACCAAUCCGCGCCGGGAACAUCUGGGCACCCACCUUCGCGGGCUACGGCCGGGAGGUGAUGCGCUCCUCAGUGGCUGCAGGGACCCGCAGGAGCUGCCACCACCACCGCCACCUCCACCGCCACCAUCUCUUCCAGGAGGAGCAGGAGGCUCUGGGCAGAGAAGGAAGAAAGGGGAGCAGCCCUCCCUCUGGAGCUGGAGCUCGCUGGGUAACUGUUCAGCAGUGCUGUGCUGCCAGAAAUGCUCGCUGAGCCCGUACGAGGAGGAAAUCUUACCAGAACUGCUGAGAUUAUCCCAGAAAGACCCUUUGCAGAUUGACUCCGCAUCCUCAGAGCUGAUCUGAUCGGGGCCUACCCAAGACAUUAACGACGUCGAAAGUAGCCUAUUUUAAGAGAAAAUAUGCAGAAGAAGAACAUUUACAUCAAGAUUACCAUGAGUAUUGUCCAAAACACCUGAUACUACCUGAGGACCGGACUUGUAUUCUAAAACUUUCUCUCCAGAAACUCCGAUUCCUGGACGACCCUGAAGCCUAUCUCCGUAGGUCUGUAUUAAUUAACAAUCUGUUGAGGAAGAUUCACCUAGAGACAGAGAGGGAGAGCUAUGAAUACUUUAAGGAGGCUCCGUGUUAUAGGACUGCUUACUCUGAUGCACGAAAACGGCUGAAGUUUAUGGUACAGGAGUGCUGUUCCCAGUCGCUCUAUUAUGAAGAGCUGCAUUCGUAUCGCAUCGUGCCUUACUCUGCAGAGAAUGCCGCCGUUUAUGGAAUGGGCUACACAAGCAGCCACUUGGAGCAAAAUUCUCAAUUGCUUAUUUAUAAAAUGAAUUAAAGUAGCUGUUAGACCCACUGAUGUUUGUUUCUGAAUGCUUGAACUGCUUAUUGAGAUGAUAAGAUGAGGCACUAAUUGCAGAUAUACUUGUGAUCAAAGGUGGAUGUGUUCAGAGCUUAGUGGGAGGUACUUUGAAUAACGCUCUGCAGUCCCCGCUGUUAACUCCCUGGUUAUGAAGUACCUUGACGUACACACAGAGCUGGUGCAAUACGAAGGUCCUUAUCUGCAGAGACUGUGCACAACGUCUUCUGUAGAAACAAAGCUGCAUUUAAGUUAUCUGUGUGUAAAUACAAACGUUCAAAAUUACUUUAUACUUAAAUUAUGCCAUCCCUAAUGAAAGGGAAGACCCCAAAGCAGUGGAGUAGUCUAACAGUGAGGAGUAAAAUGCAAGUUAUUUACUGUAAAUGUACAGCUAGAAAGUAUCUUUGAGAAAUGCUUUGACCAUGAAGGAGUCAGUGCCAAAGGAAACAGCCUUUUGCUUAGAAUUUUCAGAGACUUAACUCACUUGCUACUUACAAGACACUCUGUACUGAGACUUUCAAGUUGGAUUUGGGUUUUUAGGUUUUUUUUUCAAAUAAUUGCAUUCACCUUUUACUUAUAUUAUCUCUUAGCUGAUAUCUACUUUGCUGUUUUAAUACAAACCAGAAAGACUCACAGGAAAGAUUGUUUCUUCAGCCCAUCAUCAGUGUUUACUUAACUUAAUUUGAUUCUUUCCUUAGCUGUUUCCCUGAUACUUUUUUUGCAUGCUAAUUUGCUGCUUGGCCAGAGGUUCCCGUUGGUGCCAGGGAAUAGACAGUAAUUUCUUUUUAUGUGGAAUAUAAAAGGCAGAAAAACAAUGAUAACUCUCACAGAUAGAGAUUGAAUGUAUCUGACAGAUGCUAGUGAAACUGCAGAGAUUCUCCUGAUAAAACUACUCAGCAUUAGUAAUAGUGUUUCAGGUUAAGUGAAAUGUCUAAUUUCAAUCUGGGAAUUGACCUCAGAAUAUGUAAAUAUAUAUUUCAGAAGCUGUGGCAUGAGAGAUGUUCAGCAAAUUGAUGUCUACAAGUGGAAAGUUUUAUAGCUGCCAAAGCUAUGUCAUGAAAAUACCAAAGAGUAACAUAAGGGAAAGAUGAUGCUCCAGCAAUGGGGUCAAAAGCAAAGAUUGCACUAUAACCAAGGGAAAUGUGAUUAACGAGCCUGUAAACUAUCCGUUACUGAUACGCCUGCAGUUCACCUGAGGAUUACUCGCAUCCCAGAAUUGCUGAACAAAUAUAUGAGAUGAUCCAAAGCCUGUCAGAAUCCUACAGGUCUGUUGGCUUACAGUGAAGAAACCAGCUUUGCCUCACUGGCUAUCACCACUUUAAAGCUUCAAAGCAUAGUAAAUAAUAGUGCACGCUCAGCUGGAGGCAGAUAUGUAUCUAAUAACCUAUUUUUUUUUAUUUUGAAAGGCUUUGCUCAUGCAGAUGAUGCUAUUUCCGAAGCAUUAUAGACUACGAACAAAUACCAUUGCUUGCCAGGGAUGUGCAUCAUCUAGGAUCCUUCCGUAACCCUGCUCAGAUCAUUCUAGUUGUGUGUGUUGCACAUAUCAUUGCUGCUUUCAGGCACAUGUUAGUGCAGGAGAAAAGACAGAAAGGCAAAAGCAGGAGGUGAGAAGAGCAAAGUUAACUCUGGUAUCACUACUUAGAAGUCAGUACAGGUUUAGGAGACAGAAGGAAACAGGGAAAUCCAAAUAUUUUUUACAAUUAAAAAAAAAGGCAACAAUCUAAUUCAAAACAAGGACAACCUGCAAACUGGAGAACAUAAGCAGCACAAAUAUUGUGGGAAGGCUGGAAAAACAGGGCAAUGCUGUUUGGGAGGUGAUGUUAGUCAUGAUGAAUGCUCAGGUUUUUGUUUUUAUUUUGAGACAAGGCAUAUUUACUUGUCUCUUACAAAAGGGUGUUUUGAAACCCUUUGUCAGUGUAAUUCGGUGUCGGAGCUGCCUGACUAUGCGUAUUUAUAUUCCUGCUGUCCCUGGGCUUGCACCAGCCCAAAACAACGUGAAUGAUUAAGCUCACAUUUGGCAUACUUUGAGAAAUCUCCAGCUAGAAGUGGCUGUGUCCUUCUUGUCAGGGACUGGCUGAGAAAGGCCAGGCUAAUUAUUAGGUGUGUGGAACAGCCCUAAUUCCACCAGUAAAAGCUGGCAGCAAGACUGCUGGGCGGGAUGUGGGUGGCUGAUGUGAUGAUUGUUGUGAGAGGUGCCAUUAUCCCCCAAAGAGCUCUCUGGCCUCCACUGGCAUCUUAUGUGCCUCAUGUGAAAUGAGAGGCUGGGGUAGGGAUAUUGAAGACUGCUGGGUGGGAAGAGAAAAUUACUUCUGUCUUCUGAUUUCUGAAGCUAUGUAAUUUUCCACUCUGAAUUGAUCUGACAUAUGCAUUUUUUGUCUUCAUGUCCAUUUUUGCCUGAAUUCACGGUGAUCUAGCAGCUACGUGAAAUGCUAAAAUGCUUUUUUUUUUUUCUUUCAUGGACCUACUUUGUUAUAUUCAGAGGAUGGUUCUGGUCUGAAAACCCAAAACUUUUAAUGUGAAAAUAAUAAUGUUUGAAUAGAAUGAAAUAGCUCUUCAAACCUCCCUGAAAAAAAACCCAUUGGCCCUGUCAGAUUCAUCUUUGAAGAGUAACUUCUUUGAUCUACUGGAAUGGGCCGAUACUUUCUUGUCCAUUGAAAGCUUCUCUGAUAGAGUGUUAUGAUAACUGGAUCAGUUAAUGAAGAUCCUUGGGCUACCUGUGAAAGAAGAUGAUAUUUUACUCAUGUUUUUCCAUCUUUUGUUUUCUUGAAGAAAAAAAUAUAGUCUGAUUUGUUUCUAUUUCUGCCUGCUUUAGGACCUGUUAAAAUUAAUUGCUUCUUUCUAGAAAACAGGUUGGUUUUUAGCAUUAAUUUUUUUGCUAGGAAGUUGAAUCAGAAGUCUACAACUCUAAAUAUUUUAAUUCUGCUGAAGUUUUUACUGCCUUCCACUUCGCACAGUAAUUUGUGCUGUUGAAAAAUGGGUCUGAAACGUUCUAAUUCAGUGCUUAGAAUCCAUAGUUUAUGGGGUGAUAAAGAAGUACAAAGCUGCAAUAACAUCGCAAGUGACUCCUGAAAUAUUUAAUUUGACACUUUUUGAAUUAUAUAUUGAUUUUGACGUUUAGUUACCAAGUUACCGGGUACCAGCAUUUUAAUACAGCUACAUGCAGUGAUUUUUCUUUUUUUGGAUUUGUAGCUACAAUUCAGCUCUUCUGGCUUCUGAUGUGUGAAUCUGUCUGUAGGUGGUCAGCUUUCAGUGACAGAUUUAUAUGUAUAUAUAUAUAUAUAUGUUCUAUUAUGACUGCAGCAGGAACUCCCACAUAUGGGCUAUGUUUGCACUGGAUGUAAAGAAAGUCCUUUCCUUUGACUCAGUUGCCUUGGAGAUAGUAUAUUCGUCAGAGAGAAUAUAGAUGAGCUGGGUGACAAGGACAGACUUGGUAAUGAUUUUGAAAAUGACUGGCUUAGGACAAUUCAUUUUUGUCUUGAAAUGGCAGCAACACUGGACUGUAAUUAGUGUUUCAAUGAGUUAAGUUGUCUUUGUGCCGCUUUUCCCUAACUGGCUGUAAAUGCUGUGCCUGACCCUGGCUGCAAAAGGGGCAGAGGUGGCUCCGCGGGAGGCGCGGAUUGGGGGUGUGGGUGAGUACAUGGAAUCACCAUCUGGAGCUGUGGCUGAAGGGGUGCACACGGCUCGAGGCAGCCUGCCCCAGCGGGACAGCAUCUCUGCUGCCAUGACCUGGUGCAGAUGCUCAAAACUCUUAGGGCCGUGAUCCUGUAAACACUUCAGUUAUCAUAGAACGUUCUUUGCACAGAUUGUCUCGCCGAAGUCAGAGAGGCUCCUUGUGUGCUUGAUGCUCAGCAUGUGUAUGAGCGAAAGCAGGGCUGGGGCUGCUGUGCAGCGCAGAAGUACUCCUCAAUUGCCUAAUUAUCAGUGAAAGUGAUUAUCCAGCUGCCGCUUGAGUUCUUGAAUACGUUUAUAUUGCACUGUAAAUUGAACUUUUGUUUUCAAUGAAUGUGUUGAGUAUAUGGACUAUUGUGCCUUAAAGUCCCAUCCACAUAUGAGCCUUUGUAUAUGUCCUGUAAAUCUGCAAACCAUGUAUUGCUGGUAACUCUGCGCAGUCUAUACACAUCCGGUUCGGUACUUGGCGGGGCUUUAGGAAACACGACCCUGACCUCAGUUUGCAAUGACAGCAGAGGGGAUACAGCAAUUCACUCUUCUCUUCUUUUUUAGAUUGCUUUCCUCUACGCCACUUGUGAAAUUCUUUUUUUUUUCUGGUUUCUGUCACACCUGGGUUCUGGGUUACCUACAACGCCAGGUGCCCCUCACAGGAACUCAGAAAGUUGUACAAAGAUUGUCUCCAGCUUUUAAAUGCCAUCUGUACAGCGCUCUCUCAGCAGGGAAUCACUAUUGCGUAUAACAACUGUGGCAGGUGUUGUCAAGUAUAUCAUCAUAUAUUUGACACGAUUAACAAAGCAGAAAAAGGAACACCUAUUUCUAUUGAAAUGCAUGAGCCUGCAUUACGUUAAAUACAUGGUGAUUAUACACCACUUAAUUGGAAUAAUACCUACUGGUUCUGUAAUAAAAAAUGGCUUUUUAAUGUUUAAAAUUACUUGGGACCUGAUUAAAGGUUUUUAUGAAAUUGUUUUCUAAAGUGAACAGUAGAAAAAUGUAUAUGUAUUUUAAAUAUAUAUAUAUGAUGUGCAUGUUA